ensembl:lncRNA
CCUGAGCUGUAGUUUCACAUGUUUCUAGUUCUGUCUCUGGCCUCAUCUCCUGGCCAGGCCUUUUAUCUAUACUGCAGCAGUGACUUCAGCCAACCAGACUUUCUGGAUGGUCCUUGGACACGGUUCAUACUAUACCUUGACUGGGGCUGUUGAUGGACCUUGUUACUGUCACCUGCCUUCUGUAUUCAGGCACUACAGCACUGAACCCUGGUUCAGCCCUGCCUGGGCUGGAUCCUCUCCUGCUCUGAGUCACCUCUCUUAGAAGCAGUCUGUCUUUGCUAUGGCCUGACAUGGAUUGCCAGUUGCAGUUGGCCUGGAGAUGAGAAACAACUGCUGCCUUGCAUCCAUCAGCAUCAUGCAUUUCUGCUGCUAUCUAUCUCUGAAGUUCACUGCUCCUCUGGCCUGGAUUUGCUAAUACAGUCAGAUUUUGCUACUUGCCCCUAAUUGUUGAAAAUGCAACAUCAAACAGCACUUCUAAAGGUCACAUCCUUGCAUCUCAAGGCUGACCUUUAGCUGCACUGAAAUUAGCGAUUAACUCAUUCCUCUUCAAAUUUGUGCCAGAAUUGUCACCUUCACCUCAUCGUGGUUUAGCUUCAUCAGCAGCAUCUUCAACCUGAUGUCCUUUUUUGCAAGUCCAGGGUUAUAGGCAGUAGGCAUUGUCAGGAAGUAUUUUGUGAACUGGCAGUUUUACAUCAAAGAAGAGUUCCAGAUGUGAAAUCUGAAUAUUUGUCAGAAACCUUGUUUUUAGGAUGGUUCUGAGAUGUCACAGCAUAUGCACCACGAGGAGUUCUCCCAGACCAAACAAGUCAGGCAGCACAGAGCUGAUAGUCAGCCUUAGAGAGCCGACAAGUCAAUCAGAGCGGAGAUGCAUGGAAAGACACCAGCUUUAUGGGGCUCGGUGCUUUCAUUCAUCGUGGGAUUUACACCUGUCAGCUUCCUGGAGGGGGGAGCUCGCUGGGACUCACUUCAGUGCCACUUAAAAUGGGGCAACAGACAUGUUACUGCAAUCAGCUCCUGCUUGCCUUUCCUAUGGACAGUAUUUUGCAGGGAGCCUUUGCUACUUGCACUUGAAGCUGAACGCACCUCCUUCCACAAGGGAAAGCACUGCCUGCAUUUCAAGAUCAGAAGGACUGUUCCCCACACAGCUGACAUGCCCCAGACCAAGUAGGCAGGGUGGCCCUGACUGGCUUCAUGUUCCCCAACAUGUGGGACAGGGGGAAAUAACAGGGUAACCACUCACUUACCAAAAGAAGGCUUCAGGAGCUAUGUAAGCUGCAUGAGCCCAUCUCAUUAUCUGAGUUUGUCAUGACACUUAUUACAAGAGGUCAGUGGAGGCCAGACCAGGAG